rnacentral:lncRNA from 1 species
CAUAACUGCGCUAAGUCAGUGAUGCAGAGGGAGCCAAAAGCACAAAUUUGUGGGAUACAUCAUUUAUAGAAUUAGAACAAAAUCUCACAAAUAAUACAACCUGGUUCUUUUUAUGUAGAGUAAAAUGCAAAUUGUGUUGGGCUACUUCCCCAUUCAUAACAUGAAGUUGUUUUUCUGGUAUUCUUCAAUCUGAAUGUACCUUGGCUGGUUUACAGGGGCUUGUUUAGGUGUUUUCUUCUCUUGUGCCUGAGUAGGUGUGGUAGAGAAAUGAGGAGGAUUCUCCUCCAUUGUUCUAUGUCUCAGGUUGGGAAUGUAAUUUGCUUUAUGAUGCCAAAUGUAAACGUUUGAUUUUGAGAGAGGCUUCUCCUGUUCUAUUCCUGCCAGCACAGAUGAGGUUUUCUUUGCCUCCGCUCAAGUGGGAGAAUUCUUUUGCCUGAGUGAGCUUUCUCCUGCUCUCAUGAAAUGCCUCAGCGAACUGAUGGUAAUGUAAGGGAAGUAGAUGGAGGGGAGAGGUGGCCUUUCCUUAUGUGGGAACUGGAAAUCAGCAACAGCUGAACUGUGAGGGUCAAGUGGCAUUACAUAGAACAUGCUGUAUCUUUUUUAGGGUAGUAGUUUUGAGCUGUGGUUGCAUUUAUCACCUCACCAUCUGGAACAGUUUGCUGUUUUUUGUUGUUGGUUUUUUUUUGUUGUUGUUUUUAGACAUUGCAUUUGUGUCGGUAUCUUUUAUUUAUCUUUCAUUAUAUAAUAGAUGAACUUCACAAGCUCCUUGUUUUCUUUCACGGUUGUCUCUGCAUGCUCUGAAGCACAGUAGUAUCUGUGGUAGCAUUUUAUGCAGAGAUUAUUUGCUAAUGUGUCUGUACCAUCACUAAGCUUCUGGCCUUGUUUUGUUCUUGCCAACUUGAACUAGUGACCAGUUUAAUAUCUAUUAGUACGGGGAAAAUAACAGGCUGUAACACAGCUUGUAUAAUUAAUGUAUUUUGUGUUUGUAACUGGGACUUCUUAAAUGAACUGAGAAGGGAAAAAGGGCUUCUAAAAAUAGUGACUGUCAGGAGGUGUUGGGUCUGUUCCAGAUAUGCCAAUCAGUUAUGGCUGUGAAGAUGGAGGAGGGUGGGAUGGGGGUUGUGGCUUAACCUGUGUGCUCUCCAAACUGCUGCUACAAAGUGUUGGGCCCAUCUGCUUGAGAAGAUUUCAGCCUGAGGAUCUAGGCAAAAGUCAGUAAUCAUUGCCCCAAAUACUGCAGGGGCAGGAUGCCUGAGUUACUCUAUGACAGGAAUAGGUGCCAUUAGGAAAACUUUGAGAAACAAGGAUUAUCUAGAAUGAAUGACCAGAAAAGGGAAAAAUUAAACAGCAAAGGACAUACAAGCAAGGCUUCCCUUGGGUUAAGUCAUACAUUAUUUGAUCUAAAUUUCACCCCAGAAGGCUGCUGCUUUUCCUGUCCUCUUACCACAUAACUACUGGAAAAGUGGUAGCUGCAAACAGUGACACCCCAUCACCCAUACAGCAUUACAGUAUGCUCCUUAAUCUUGUUUUGCAUGAGAAGUUUUGUACAGGGUUUGGUUAUUCACAUACAAGGAUUUCAGCCAAAAACCCACAGAGGCUGUAGAAAGAGGGGAAGAGCUCUGAGUGCAUGCAGCAGCCUCUGCUUCACAUAAAUGUUCCUGUGAAGAGCUUUGGUGAAGAGGGCAAUUACAGUAACUACAAUAAUGAAGCUCUAAUUCACAUGAUGACUGGUGAAACUGAAAGUAGGAUAUGAAUGACCACUACGUAUGUGAUUUGCUGAACAUGAAGCAUUUAUUUAUAUGAGCAGUACAUUAACAAGUGGUAAAGUUCUAUGCUAAGGAUAUGUGAAAAUUUACUUCCCCCUACAUCCAACACACCAGUCAACUGAAUCAAGGUGAAAAAAAAAGUUUAGUCCAGCUGUGAGACUAACAACAGCUGUAGCAUACCAUGCACUAAAACAAUCUUGCUACUUCCACCCAUGCUAAAGCCUUGCUUAAAGACCAUGAUUUUAAGUACACAUAAUUGGAAAUAAUUACCAGGGCUUCAUUAGUUCAAACUGCCAACCUUUCAGUCUGCAGUUUAGUGCACAGCAACAGCUGUGUAUGUCUAACUGCUCAAUUGAAGGAACCAACCAACAUUUAUAUGCUCAGUCUCAGUAAAAAUAGUUCUCUGGGAAGACUUUGAGCAUUGCAUCACCUGUACAUACCUGAUAAAUAGUAUUUGUGGGCCACUUCUGGUGUGGAGAUGUAGUGCAUUUGUUCUAACAUACAAAUUAAGGAAGCUUGUUAAGCAUUUGGGGGUGGCUAGUGCUUCAUAUGACUGCUUACAUGUAUACAAAAUAAACUCUACUGUCUUGAGGGACUCAGGCUCAUUAGAUGAGUGAGUCUGUCAAACUCAUCUAACUUCCAAAGAAGCCUGAAAUGUAGGGUUGUUAUUUCUAGACAAAUAUCAGGGCUUUUUUAUUUUUUUAGCAAAAAAGUUGAUUAACUGUACAGUAGGUAUAAAGCGGUCUUUAAAAAAAAUACAGAAAUCACCUAGAAGACUAUAGUAAAGUGCCUAGCAAUAACAGUGUAAAGAACAGGAGAAUCAGAGUAAGUGGGCAAACAACAUUGCGUUCUUGCUCCUGUUACCUGUUCACAAAUUCUCCCACAUGCAUUGCAAUAGCAUCAGUGCUCAAUGACAAUACGUCAGGAUCACCAUUUUCACUUCUCUAUAUACUAUAUAGGUUGUUGGGGCAUUUAAAGCCAAAAAUAGAGUUGAAUCAGAAACUACAUCUUGGAGCAUGAUAAGCUUGCUCUCACCCCAGCUACCCUCAGUGUUCUUAGGGCACAAGUCAUACCAACCUGUGAUCAGAUAUAGCUGUGGCCCUGUGGUUCAGAUCUGCUGACCACAACUGGAUGACCCUCAUGUCUCAUCUUCCUGUCCCCUCCCUUCAUCAGUUUGUUCCCUGGCCUCACGCUCUCCCUCACUUUUCUCCUAAAGGGACAGCCAAAGGCUACAUCAAAACUGAAGAUUUAUGGCUAUUGUGCUUUCUAAAUGUGACUGCUGAGACACCUGGGCAUUUCUCUACAUCAGUUCCUAGCCUUCAGAGCCCUGAACACAUCCAGGGAGGGUGACUGCUGUCCUGUCACAGGGCAGGUCUGCCACCUGCAUUACAGCAAUUCCUGUUAUGAAUUUUGCUGGGAAGAAAGCUGAAUUUGUCUUUAUGUAAAAAUAUGGAGCAAGUCACAUUAAAGCUGAAUUUCAGCUUUUUACUCACUCUUUUCGAAUGCAUGCUCCACAACAAAUGACCCUGACUUCAUAAAAAACAAGACUAUACAGCCAGAGAACCUGAAGUGUCAAAAAUACAUAUUUUUCCCUCUCCCCUUUACCCCUUGACACCCAAAACAAACACUAACACAAACUAAGCUGAUAAGACAACACUGAAUAAAUAGCCGUGGAAAACUUUUGGUUGCGAGGAUGUCUGCAGGCAUCAUGUAAACCGUGUGCUACCUUCAUGCUAGUUUUUAAAAAGUGUUCUACAGCAAUGGAUCCCUAUCCUGGCACUUCUGGCAAGAAUCAGAUGGUUUCAGGUUGCUAAUAUUUGGAGAGUAAAUAAAACCAAUGCAAUACUUUUUUCCCCCCACAAGAGAAAAAAAAAAGCCAUAUCUGUGCUCCAACACUUAUCACUUCAGUUGUAAUCCCAGGAGAAACAAAAGAAAGUUACCUGCCUGUAGAAGAGUUACUGAUAAGAUUUUUCCUUUCAGAGAUCCAUCACUUAAUCUUGCUACCAGUAUUCUAAAUGGGUUUGCUCUUCUUCAACAACCUGGAAUCUUUACAGUGUGAGUCUACCUGAAAAGCAUAACUAAGUUCCUUCUUGUUAUUUUCAGAAAAACAAAUACUUUGCAUUUAAAUGUAAACACUGAUACCGUAAAUGUGGUGUAUACAAAAGGCACAAGACAAUUAGAUCUGUGUUGCAGAAACUUCCUUGGUUUUGCAGUUGGUAACACAUCUUAUCUUUCAUUAUCUGACUGGUUAACUCAGAUGUUAAGAAAGCUGCUGUCUCUCUCCAGCUUAAUGGAGGGGAGCUUCCUACAUGCAGCAGUCUGGCCUUUUGGUAUUACAGUCAAAUGUUCAUUGUCCCUUAACUGCAAACAUCAUAAGUUACAACAAUGUCUCCUUGAUUGUAGAUGAUAUUAAUUAAUUUAUACAGUCAGAAAUGCAGUGUCUUAAAGAACAAGUAAAAAAAAUGUCUGAAACAAUUAUCGAUUAAGCAGAAGUGAGAUUUUGAAAGACAAUGGCCAUCAAGAAUAAAGAUUCGCUUAAAAAAACAAAACAAAACAACCACACACAAAACCAACAUCAAUAACAAAACCAAAUGCCUUUUGGUUCGAGUGAGGUGCCAGCCUUCCUGUUCUUAAAGGGAUGAAGGCUCUAAAUGGGAAAAUAAAAUCCCCACUUGAUAGGAUUGUCCUGUGCAGCUUUCAUAAAAAUCCCCAGUGUACCACCUUUACUUAUAUAUUAUCCUUCUGAAUGUGAGCUUUCUAAUCAUUCACUUAUCAGAGACUCACAAGCAUUCAAUUAUCAAAGAUUUCCCCCCCCCCACUUCCACAACUUUAGGUUAUUUAAAAGGGAGCCUUUGCUGUAAUGUUUUCCACAACAGUACUCAGAACAGUCCGACACUUCACUUGGGUUGCUUUAUCUUCAGAAAAUUGCAUAAGCGUUCAAAAGAAGAUGCAGUCCACCAAGCAACUGAAUUGUCCAUAGUCAACACUGAUUAUUCUCCCACUUUAUCAAGAUCAAGCCAGCAGUGCAAACAUUUAAGUCAAAUACUUACAGUGAUUUGAAUUAACAGCUGAACUUUCAAAAUCAGGGCAAGAACCUAGGCUGGUAUGUAAGGAGGUCAUUUUUUUUUUUUGUGCUGAAUACUGAAGUAAAACCAGCCACAGAAUUUUUUACAAUAGUAAAGUCAGACUGUCCCCCCCCGCCCCAGUACUCAGAAUCACCUUUCACCGUUCAAAAAUAGUAAUUUUAAAGUUGAAACAUUCUUUAUGUGAUUCAAAAUAGCAUGUUUUGUUUCAUGUUUCAAGCAAUGACAUGGAGACAGCUAAUCAUCUGUCAGUUUGAUUUCUGAGCACAUCCACGUAGGAGCAGACAGGAGCAGCUGGCCAACAGGGCUGAUUUUGGAAGAAUCCAUCUUCCUUCUACCAACAGCUUUUUCUUGAACUGGAACAGAACAUAAAACACAAAAUACAUCAUUAGAAUUGAAGAAAGUCUAGUAGAAGUUCAGCUGCUUAGCAGAGGAAGCUAUAAUCUGUUGUGUUCAUGUUAAGAAGUAACUUCAGUUUUAAACCUAACUUCAGAAAGAUUUCCUGAACAGCUCACAAAAUCAGAAUUUUUCAUUUUCAGCUCACAAAAUCUAGAACUGUCUAGAGAAAGGGAAUGAUAACAUUUUGGAAUACUACCUAACAAGCAAUGAGUGCAAAGGUGAAACAAUAUUUUGCGAGCAUGACCCAUCAGAGGUUCAGUUUAAAACCAUGAAUUCAUAUGCUCCUACCUCAAGGUAAAAGAAAUAGAGAGGAAAAGUAAACAAACAGGAAUUAUUUUAGGAACUUCUGUGCAUUCUUCAAGUGGUAAGGAAUCAUGGAACAGAAAAUUAAACAAACAGAAUAUCAACAUACCUUUCCUAAAAUAUUCAGAUGUUUCUUUUUAGGGAAGCUAGGUUUCAUUCUCCAUGGUUAAUGCAGGAUUGCUCAUACCUUUGAAGAAAAAAGAGGAAAAAAAAGUUUUAUUUUCUUUUCUUUACAUGGCUUUUGGCAACAAGGCAUCCUCAUAUUCUCAUAUAAGAAGCCUGUCCCCAGAAUAAUCCCAGCCUGACAGUAAGUGUUAACCGGUACCCAGUAGUGCUGGUGCUCUCAGUACCCCUCUGUCAGGUUUAACGUGGAAGGGCAUGGCAGCUUGAAAUGCCCAACUUUGUACAAACAUGCAUAAAAUAAGCUUAGCGGCACAGCUGUAAGAAAUGUGAAAACAAACAGAGUGACCACCAUCAUUUUUACACUGUAUCUGCCAAAGGUAGAUUAUUAUGCAGCGAAUCAUUGCAGCAUACAUCAGUUCCUUACCAACUUUGCCCUUUUCAGCCUUUGCACCGAUGUCUGACCAGGAAUGUGUAUCGGUAAGGAGGUGGCUCUGGGAGUCACGCAGUGGCUUUGCAGGGAACAGGUGGUUCUCACUGUAAUGUCAUUAAAAAGAACAGUGCUGUAAAUCUCCAUUUCUUUACCACACAUUUCAAACAGUCUGUCAUACGUGGUAUUUUACUUCCCUUACCUUGCUUAUUUUCUGAUGAAUCACUGAACUUCUAUCAUUACAUAUAUUGCAGUGUAGUUGUCACAGGUACAAGUGUAAUCUCAAAAGCAACUCUCUAGCACAGAACAGGGAAACCUCAUAAUUUUUUUCUUUGACAGAUAAUCUAUAUUUAUAUGCAUUAGUUCCAAAUACGCUCUAUCCAUAUUCUCUUCCACUACAGCAAACCUGCCACCAUAACAGCAGAGAGAACAUUUCCAGAAUCUCUCUCCAUAUUUAGGCUAUGGUUCCCUUCUCCCUGACUUGGUCACUAGGGCAAGAUUUAAAACAUUCUCCAGCUGGAUGUCAUUUCUGGUCUGUCAGUGCACAGCUAGCUGAAAUGCAACAUGCUUGUUAUACAAAUAAAAGACAGUCAAUAUGAUUCUGUUAUCCCUUUUUAGUCAAGGUAUUCAUAUCUACUACGCUUUUCACUCUUCAUCAUGAAAAUAUUACUAAAAAGUUGCAAUGCAAUUUACUAAGCUAUUGUGAAAUUUUCAUUUGGUUUCAAGAACAUCUGCACACUUCUCAUACUUCAAGCACAACGUGGCCUUGAAGGAUAAAGAUUAAGAAAACAUUUCUGAUUAUCAGCAGUAACAGAACAUGUGAAUUGAAAACAGUUUCCUUCCCACCCCCUACUUUAGGGCUCCCUGUCGUACAGAAAUGUUGAGGUCUGUGUUCCAGUACACAAACCAUCUUGCGCCAGAAACAAAGCAGCUGGCCUUCCCCAAAAGCCUUGCAUGGCGACACCAUCAGGCAGACCAACUAACUGCCCGCAUGCAGAACAGAGCAUACUGACACUAAUGAGGCAGGCAUGGAAAACUCACAGUUUGUGGGAUGUCACUGAACCGAGGCAGAGUUACAGUGUGAACGUGAGUAUGGAGGAAAAAAACCUCUUACUUCCAUACAUUUACAUACAAGUCUCAGGCUUAGCUCAAUUACAACUUAGCUGUUUUAAAUUUGACUUGUACUUCUUAAUAGGAAAAUCUACACAUAAAACGUGGUUUGAUUUAUACGUGUAUUGGCACAAAACAGAAUACCAAGUACUCGAAACUAAUAACAAAAAGUAGAUUACUUUUUGCAUGUUGAAUUAAGACCACCAGGUGUGGAGGCUUGCUCAGGAUCUUGAUUAACAAGGCAAGUUGGGAAGGAGCAACCAUCCCCUAGGCUGGAAAAAUAAAUAAAUAAAUAAAUCAAAUUAGUCUAGUGACUAUAUCUAAUUUCAGAAAAUUAAACAAACAAAAACCAAGGCCCACGCCCUGUGGGUCCUGACCAUUUAACAGUUUCAACAAAUGAGUGUACCUUGAAAAUACAGGCAACAGCCAGUACUUCUUCUCAUCACCAAACACCUGCCUUAGGUUUUUGCUGAAGCCCAAGCUAAAACCGUUCUUGUCUGUUCUGUGAUGAAAUAUGGGUGCUCUGAAUACCUCUUAAAGAUAAAGCAAAAAUCCAUUAGAUUUCUUCACAAGAUAGCACAUUCAAGUUUCACAUCAAUUUUUCACGCAAUUACAUCUCCAGCCAAGAGGAAUGGCUGAGCUGUUCAAGUGACCCAGUUGGCUUGUGGAAUCCACAGUCACGGCUACACACUGCUGUGUGUGCAGGGAGGGGUAGAAGUGUCCUUCCACCCUGACCAAAGUGAGGAAGAGUGCUCCUUAUGGCGUGAUGUGUUACAUGAAGCUUUCAACAUGUGGAUACACCACAGUGUUCAGGGAAAAGAAUUAGACUGAACUAAGUGUUUACUACAGUAAGAGCAAUGGAAAAGAAAUGAAGCUUACCCUAUUUUAGUAGCUUUUUACACUCUGGGGUACAAAAAUUUUGUAUGUUUUUACAGCUACAUAAAGAAAGCAUUUUACUUGUAGGCCCGGAUCACUCCCCAUGCAUGUCAACUCUAAAUUUCAGGGGAAGAGAGCUAAAUAUAGCCUCAAGUGUUGCAGAGUGCCUGAGGCAGAAAAUUCCUUCACCUUCCACAUGUUGACUGAUAGCCAUUUAAUUCCCCUAAUUGGCUAUAUAUAUAUAUAGCAGGCUAUAUAAAGCAUGUCCUGCAGGGCUGACAGCACAGUUCACACAGACUGCUCUCGAUCCAAGGGGGGAAUUGUGCUCCCACAGUGCUUCCCUAUCCAAGGGUAAGGGGCUUUAAGUCAUCCAGAAUGCAGAGGAAACCCACUUUCCUCCAAAUAACAUAUCUUCAAAAUUUUCCUCUCAUCGUCUACUAAUUUGUAAAUUUCAAGAAAACCAGGAAAAGAAAAUACAAGAGAGAUUAUCCUUAUUCAGCUUGUAUCAACAGGAAAACAUUUAGAGAUCUAGAAACUUCAAUGAAUUGAUAUUAUUAUUGCAAUCCACAGCACGGUAAAGGACAGGUGUGACUUGACAACCACACAUCAGGGUGUUGGGAGAUAUUGGUUUAAUGAUGACAUCUGACAGUUGUAAAAAUUCCCAUAGCAGAGGCACAGGACAUCAUCUCUGAGGUUUUUAAAAUUAACCCAUAAUUAAACCCAUGCAUCUACAAUUAUGUGGUGGACAGAACAUGUAACUGUUAAACUGCCAUUCACAUAUUUGAGUUUACUUACAACUGAAUGCAGAAGCACUGCCUUAAAACCUGUUUUGAUAUAAUAGCCAUCUGUUCAUUAUUUUUUGCUGCCAAACAUAGAAGCAUUAAGCUUACCUAAAGUCGACUUAUUCUUGCUGACAAGCCAACAGUGGUAUCCAAAGAGAGAAGACAGACUGACAGAAAACAUAGCAGCAGCAAAGAAUAAAAACAUGAUGUGGAACUUGGCUUGAGUAUCAGGAAGGCCAUUCUAAAAAUAAUAAAAAAAUGCUUUUAGAAAUGAGGAAAUAGCUAUUUAACUUGAUUAUUAAUAAUCCUCUAUUCACCCAAAUCCAAUUCAAUGCAGACAGAGACAUACCAUGCAACAAGAGCCUGAGUAAAUACGUGAUGCACCUCUUAUGCACAGACAGCCGUGCAAUUUGGUUUUUGACAGCAUGUAGUUUAAAGAAACCAGUCCUUUCUUGAGCUACUAUAAACACUGACAACAAGAACCUGACACUUGGAUCUGAACUUCCAAGUAUAUUUUAAGGAAAAAUAAAUUUACUACUUACUGUCCAAAACUUGAUGAAAUACUGUAAAUCUGUUGCAGCGAUGAAAAGGCAAUACAGUAGAGAGUAAGCCAAGAAGAGAAGAAAAAAUUUGUAAUUGGAGAAUCCAACACAGUUGUUCACCCUGAUAACAAAAAAGUAAAAAUGAAAACAGAAUGUAAAGGUACUUAUUCGCUUUGCAUUCCUCCAAUUUAAGAAUAAACUUAUUUACUUCAUAGAAAGUAAUAUCAGUAUCUAGACCCAGACUUGCUUCCUAUCUGUGGUGCCUCAAGCUACUGAAACAUGUUUUAGCUUUAACUUUCAGAUUAGUGUAGUAUUUCUAACCAGACCAAACAAAAAAAAAAAAACGAAUGAGGUACUUCACAAUGCAGUACAGCUUUCAACAGAUUACUGAAAUUCAGUUUUGCCUUACUGAAUGAAAGCUGUUCCUAGCACAUCUAACAUACAUUUGAAUCACAGUCACAGUUAUUUUUCUCAUUUAUAGAAAGGUUUAGGUGCCCAUGUUUUAGCAUUACACUGACAUAAAAUAAUAAGGGAAAUACUCCUGUUGAAUACAGAAAAAUUGUUCCAUACCAGAGACAACAUGACAGCAAAAAGAAGAGAUUAAUAAAACUUAUACAUCAAAAUGUCAACAUGAAUCUCAUUUUGUCAUUCUUCAGGCUUGAAGUUCACCUGCUUCCCGUUUUUAAAGAAGUUAUAUGUGAUAAUGAGCUACUCAUAUACGCUAUCAAAGAGACACAUUGAGGGUUCAUUUAGUAUUGUAGCAGAUUCCCAUUAAAGCCAAUAUAUUCAGUAUUAUGAAUUUUACAGCUCUAACAAACACGUGAUGAUAUUACAUCCAUCUAAGGAAAAAUACUGAAUGUGUGCCCAUGGAGAAUUUAUUGGUAAACAGCUCCCUUUUUCUGUUAUUUGGCUGCAUGAAGAAGCUAACAAAACCUAUCACUGCACUGCUAAAUUUCACACAAUUAUCUAGAGAGUUAAAAUAAAUAAAUAAAAUUUCACAUUCCUUCUUUAACUAUCAGAAAUAUUAGAUAAUUAAGAGAAAACUAUCGCCACGAAAACAUCUAUGUUGAAAAAUAAUUCUGGGGAAAAAAAAAUAUGAAAAAAAAAAAGGUUUUGAGAGGCUCAGCUUCAGCUGUCUCUAGAGGUUACGGCAACUAUUCCCUUAUUAAGGGAGAUAGUGAUGCUAGCAGCAGGAUAAACAGUAAUUAGAACAGAGUAAAAUCUUAAAACAUCAAAUGACCAUUCUCUAUACACCACUGGUACCCAUCCACUGGGUCAGUGGAAAUAGGGUUUUAUUCUUAUUUGUUUUAAUGAAACAUGCCAUCUUGUGUAAACAUUAUAUUUAGUACCACCAUUUGAACAGAAAACAGUAGCUAAGCAUCUGUAUCAGUGACAAUUAAGUAGGACUUGCAAGAGACUGUUCUAAUUAAAAAAACCCGAAGACAUGUUUCUAAGCUCAUCAUGAUUCUUAUUGGAAAAUAAUUGUUCAAUUCUCCCUAGUGAAGUGCUUUUUCAUUAUAUAUGUCAAAGUUAGUGAUUCCGUGAUAAACUGCAAGCUAUUCAGAUUCAAGGUUUCUAUGAUAAACCUGUUUACUCUUGUGACUUUUUUUUUUAUGGCAGUUUUUUUGGCACUUUUUAGCAUGAGAAAAGAACUGUCAUGUGAAAUGUUGCUUGGCAAAAACAACGUCUCUUGAAUCAAAGAUUUCUCUCGUUCUUUUGCACAUUAAAACAAACUUUCAUAAAUCAUCCUGCUUCUCUAAGUUUUGACAAAGCUCCAGACUGAGGAGUUAUUACUGGAAAAGAAUAUUUCAUUAAGGAAUUAACGAGAAAGUAAACAUCAAGGUUUUGUAACUGUUCUAUUUGCACAUGCAGUUUCAAAUAAUAAAAACCAAGAAUGGUAGUUAAAUACAAACCCUAACAUUUUGAGGAUGAGCAAAACUGUUAGCACACAGGCUGCUAAAUAACCGUGUUCUAUUGCAGUUAAAUAUUUAUUCAAAAGAACAUUCUAGGUUCAACUUGGAUUAUAGAUAAAAUUGAAAAUGGUUCCUUUUGAAGUAAAGUAGAAAAUAGAUCCUUUCUAACUCAAGAGUUAGUUUACUAGAAAUGCCAGGUAAAAAAGUAAGUUACAAGGCAACUCAGUUAACAAAAAGAAUCACAAAAUUGAGUAGUAAAUUCUUCUCAGAUAACUCAAAGGACUGAGGAGAUCUGUUUCUCAUUGUUUCCAAAUUUUUCAUAAUGCAUCUUGGUAGCAUUAGAGUUGUUAUAUAUCAAAUUAUAUCUUCUGGUGAUGCUUCAAGUCAUCACAUUUCUGUCUACAGCUCCAUCUAUAACAUGGGUAGCAAGAGCACUCAAAUCAUUAAUGAUUUUGUUUCUGCAUCUAUUAAACUUCUACAGUAGCUAGAAAGCAAAUUAGCAUUACAUAUUUCUAUUUAUUACAUUUCCUUUAGCAUAGGAGUGUAGGACAAGCUAAACCCUCCCAGAAAUCAGGAAAUAGCUGAUCUGAGGCAAGAACAUGACUGCCAUCUCUGCCAUCUCACUACCUCUCCUUCCAAAUUCUUCCCCUUACUUCUCCAAGGUUAUUUUUAACUGUCCUCUCCAGAAAUCCUACUCCAAGCAGAAUAUUCAAACACUAAUUCCCAUUACUGUUUCCCUGCUCCCCUAAGCAUCACAUCUCCCCACCAAAAGAUUAAACAAAGCUUACCUAUCUACUAUACUGAUUUGAACCGUUACUUUUAUUGGUCAAAGAAGUCACCCAAGGAACCCCUAAAGAUGGAGUUUUUUUUAAAUAAAAGUCUUCUCAAUUUGAGCCUUUCUAACAUUUGUCUUUAAUAAUUUCUGUGAGAUACCUGCCAAAGUGAAGUAAAUUAAUUCAAUAUCCCCACUCACUGUUUCCAAGAGCUGCUGAGAAAGGGCAGGAAAACAAAAACAUUGUGUAGGCCAGUGUGCUGCACAGAAGGGGGAAGAGUGGAAGGGAAAGAUAAGGGAAAAGAAAGCAAGAAAAAGAACCCUAAAAACCGAAGAGCUAACAAGGUGUUUCCAGGAAGCCAACACAAGCUGUCCUAGGAAGUGACUUUGCAGGGCAAAUGUCACUUUGGUAAGGGGAACAUGGCACAGCACUUCCCCUCAGUUUUCAACCUACAGUAACAUUAAAUACUCAAAGUGCAUGAAAAAAAUAUGAAAUUCUUAAAGAAUUUUUUCUUUCUUACCAGAAUUCUAUCUUACCCUAACUACAGAAAUAGUUACCUAACAAAAAAAUGGUAUCUAAACUUCUUUUCACAUCUCAUAACUAGGCAAAGAGGAUAUAAAAUAAACAAUUCCAACUGCCUUUCAGUACCUAAAGGGAGCCUAUAAACAGGAGAGGAGUCAACUCUUUGAAAGGGUAGAUAACAGCAGGACAAGGGGAAAUGGUUUUAAGUUGAGAGAGGGAAGAUUUAGGUUGCAUGUCAGGGGGAAGUUCUUUACUAUGAGAGUGGUAAAGUGCUGGAACAGGCUGCUCAGAGAGGUUGUAGAUGCUCCGUCCCUCGAGUUAUUCAAGGCCAGGUUGGAUGGGGCCCUGGGCAGCCUGGUCUAGUAUUAAAUGUGGAGGUUGGUGGCCCUGCCUGUGGAGGGGGGGGUUGGAGAUUCAUGAUCCUUGAGGUCCCUUCCAACCUGGGCCAUUCGUUGAUUCUGUGAACUGUUCUGCAGGACUAGUAAUUUCAUGUUAGCAUCCAGCUCUAGGAAUGGUGAAACACCACCUAUGAUCCCUGAAGACUUUGUUUUACCAAAUAAAAAAAAUAAAAAGCAAAAGCAUGUAGUACACUCACCAAGGACAAUGAUGAUCCAUUUUCAGAAUGCAUCUUAAAAAAAAACAAAAACACCACCAAAACAACAGAUUUCAAAGUAUAUAAUAAAAAAAAAAGAAAAAAAGAAAAAUCAGAAACAGUUAUGUGUCAGAAUUCAACUAUUUAAGUACACAUCAGCAUUACACAUGCAUAUUAUUAGUUGCCUACUUUGUCAAGCAACGAGGACUUUAAUAAUUUCAUACAAUACAUUUUACCUGCAAGUACUCAAACACUUGUUUUUUCAAGAGCUUAGUGGUAGAAGAACACACUGUCUACAACAGCUUUAAGAUUUGGUCCUCUAUCUGAAUAAGUUUUUCAAACAUUGUUAAUUCUCUGACAAAGACUUAGAAACUAGGCUAAUUCAAUUAUUACAUGAUGCAGCUUAAUGAUGCAACUAAGGAUAUUUCCAAGUAUUUAUAUAAAUAUAUGCGCAUAUGCCUUCUAAGAACUUAUCACAUAUGAAAAAUCCAAAAUGUUUUUGCACUUAAUCACUCUCCAUUAAUAAAACAUGUACAAGAAAAUCAGGCGUAACUAAAGCAAUUGAAAUUUAAAGGAUGAAAUCAAGGCAUUCUGCAAAAUGUAUUAACUAAUGGUAUUUCAUGGGAAAAUUUCUUCUGCUUAGAUGUGGGGCUGUUCCUUUCUUACACUGCAAUCACCACCCCACACAGCACAACAAAGACACCCUUUGUGCCUUCAGUCACCGACUCUUUCAGUUCCUCUGCAAAAUGGUAUGUCCACAAGCAACUGAAGAGUAUUUGGAAGCCUUAAGGCAACAAUAAUCAGUCUUUGAAGAAGCCCCUUCUCCUCAAUUUAGACAUUCAGAUAAUUGGCCACAAGAGUAGAGAAGCCCACAGAUGUUGAAGCUAACAGGAGAAAAAUCAGAGGGAUGAAAGCUGACAAGGAAAGUAUUUAGGCUUUGGGGGAAGAAUAUGGAGGUGAGCUUCCUUCCAUAUUGUAUGAACAAAAACUUUAUGCUACUGCUUCAGUUAGAAAUGGGGGCUGCUUGGUUGUUUCCUUCUUUAAUUAGAAAUAGCUUUCAAGUUAUCCAAUAAAAAUUAGGAUAUUAAGCUUAUUAUCUCAGGUAAGAUGUAAAUGACACCAUGAUUAGAUUGACAUGAGUAGUGGUCUUUAUUCAGAUUCUAACAACAACAAAAAAAGCAAAUUUUAAUCAGCUACUUUUGGUUACAUUCCUAAGGAAAGGUCCUUAUUAAAAAUUGUCAUCCAUUAAUUAAAUGGUGUGUAAGAUCACACAAUCCAAUUCAGCAUCAAGAAGUCAUCAAACAAAUUAGACAUUAUUACAGGCUUCGUCAGUAAUAACUUAAAAAUAAAUCUGAAAAACAAAUAUUAAGAGAAAAAAAAUCAUCUCUGAUGUAUCAUUAACGUUCUACCUCAACAUCUAAGAAUAAAAAACAAAAGUUUCUGCAUGUAAAAUUCUGCAUCAAGGAAAAAAAAGCCAUUAUUCAGGAAAGCUACACAUUUAAAGAAUUUUCUUACUUGUCACACACAGAACAGUGAUGGCAACGAUCUGGUUUUACGAGGUGGCAUCUGUCACAGUAUCUGAUUGCUAAAGAAAGAAGUCACAAGAUUAGAUCUUAAUCUACAGAUACACAUUUUGUUUCCUGAGAGCUCUGCUGAGCUGUGGUUUCAGGAAAGUUUUGCAGUGAGAUCAGAAGAACUUGCAAACCCUGAAGCAUCCUCUAGGUACUGCAAUGCUGAAUCUAGCAGAGUGAAGCCAAAAUGCUAUUUUUGCAAUCUCUUAACUAUGCCCAAAUUUUUUUCAAAAAAACUCAAGUAAGUGCUACAAACCAACCAAUCAAACCAGUAAAAUACUUUCUAGAACCAGACCAUAAAACCUUUCCAGACUGUCCAACAAAAAAAAGCCAUUUUGAGCUAUUAUUCUAGCAACUUUAAUUUAUUCUAUGAGAUUAUCCUCUGCAUUUGCUCAGCUAACAAACAUUCACAAACUUACAGUAUCAUUAGGCUCAAACAUUCACAAAUUUACAACACCAUUUGUUCUUGCAGCUUCACCUGUAGUUUGUUGAUAUUACAAGCUACUGGCUAAUUUUAGUUUGCAAACAUUUAGCAGGGCACUGUCAGUCCCUGAAUAAAGAGAAGCUGUACACAGCAAUUUACUUUCCAACACUUUUUACUGAAUGAAUAUAACCGCAUGGAACUACAUUAAAGUUGUUAGGUCAUAUUGUUUAUGAACUAUGAAAAGAAGUUCUUCUGUACCAUCCAAAUCCUUUUUACUUAAUUCAGGCAGCCAAGCACAUCAUGACACCUGCCUUUCAUGGUCUCCUGAACACCUAUUUACCUCCAGACAUGGUCCGUGUAUAGAUGGGAAGAUCCUUGGCUGCUCGCCGUAAGACUUCUUGCUGGGAUUCACCUCUUGGCUCCCUUUCUAGGGAUUCUUUGUCCGAAUAUGACAGAUGAAACUGAAAUAAUUUUUAAAACCAAAGACAAAAAUUAGAAAAUGUCAAGUUCAGUACCUGUAGAGAAGUAAAAAGAAACAUUCAUUAUAUAAAGAUGGAUUAGCAGCAUGUACAAGGUAUUACAGCAAAUAACUCAUUGUUCCUAAGAGCAUUAAUUUAGUUGAUGACAUUUUUUGACUAAUCAUUGAAGCAAGACGAAAUUAAAAUUAUUUCUGAUCUGGUACAGAUGUAAUGCUGAAUACUUCCAGAAGUAUUAAGAGACACUCAUCAAGGGUAGGAUCAAGAGCUAGCACAAUCAAAUUUAAUUACCAAUCUUUUGAAAAGUAGUUAACCUACUUCCAUUAUACCAAGCAUUAGAUAAUGAAUGCAAGCUAGGGAUGACUUUAACUGAAAGAAAAUAUGUUGCUAGCAAUACCAGAAAAGAUAGCUGAAUUUCAUCUCAGGUUUCUGGCAUUUUCCCUUUUACCCUCUGUCACUGGAGAGUGGCUGUUCUCUUCAUGGAUGCGUUAGGAUGUGGUUUUAUCUCAGCCUAGCUGGGAACAGGGAAGAGCUGGAUAUCCUGCAUGGCAGAAUCCCAAUCUCAACACCUCCUGCAUGAAACUGUCACUGCUGGAAACGGCAAGGACAAACAUAGCUCUGCUGAGAGGGUACAAAUACUGAAAGAGAUGCACAGUGUAGCCCAAAUUUGCUGUACUUCUAGGUCCUCUGCAACACAUCACAGCCAGCAUUGUUGCUGCAGCUUCUUGAAACGAGCAGAUCUAGAAGUCCUUGAUAUCACUAGCAUUUAUGUCUACAGAAAGGCUUAAGAGUUAGUCACUAUAGUAACACAAUUUUUGUUUUCCCUAAAUGAAAGUAAUGCAUGUAAAGCCAAGGGAGCAGAAAAAAAUACAGAGGUAGGAACCCAUUUUCACUUCCAUAGAGAAGGUAUCACUCUACUUUCCUGAUGAUAUCAUGGUCUUACAGUAGAAGAUAGUGGUUCACAUUUUAGCCUGAGCUUCUCAGAUCACCUUUCAUUUUUAACUAGCAAGAACGCACUCCUAUUGCUAACAUCUAAAUUGAUUUUAAUUGGGUGACAAAAGAUUUCUCACUGCAGAAACUCGCUUCAGAAGACCUCUGUUUUUGUGGCUUCUGUUUUGAAGAACAAAGCUAUUGCUCCAUCAUUUUGUAUGGUUUCUCAGAGUAGUCUGCAAAACCUUCCUGGAAGCCAUCUUCUUUCCCACUGCCUCACAGUGCCUGCACAGAGCUGGUGCAUGCAGGCAAGGAAUGGCACAGUCUGACCUGAAGCAGUCAGGGUAGCACAGUACUGUUACUCAGGGCAACUAUCUCUAACACAGGGGGGAUAAGGAUAACACACUGAACUUCAGAAGUGUCAGGUUAACAAUAUUGUCAAUUAUGAGCCACAGUGCUGAUACUUUAACACUUCUUUUGUAUUUGUAAAAUUCAAAAUAAACUUAAAAAGUAGCAUGCAGGCUGUGUGGUUUACACCAGCUGCUGUAUUCAUGAGAACAAAACUCAUAAGCUUUAUUCUCCUUUUAGUCCUCAAAUGAGUAUUUGCUUUAGUUGACAGAUAAGAUGGAUAUGUAUCCACUUGCACGUACAGACUUUAUCUCUUAAACUGAAAGCCAAACAGUAACUUAACAUCACAAAACGUGCUAAUUUAUUUAUAAAAUAUUGCCCUAGUGGAUUAGCAAAAAGACAUGGAACAACAUGAGAUGUCACUUUGUCAGCAACACCGUGUAAAUUCAAAGAACACAAAAACAUCACACAUUGCUUCCCAUUACCUAGCUUCACUACUUUUAAUAUGCUAUUUGAAGUGUUUGUGUAGCAUUCUGUGGUGGCUUUCAAAUAUCAGCAUCAUUACUGAGGAUUUGUUAAGAUGUUCUGGAAGUCUUUUAGUAACAUCAGACCAGCGACUUGAAAAGCCUUCUGAUUUAUCACUACAGUCACCACGUACAUGUACAUAUUUUGUGACAUAAAAAUUAAUUUCAUUUAGUAAUUAAGUUAUUUCCCUGCUCUCUGCUCCAAGACAUAAUAAAGACUGUAGUGCAAAAUGCAAGGAAGACGUCAAUUGCUUUGAAUCAUCUACUUGUCUUCACAACUAUGUCUGUUUUUAGUGAAUGAAAAUUAUUCAGAAUAAUCUCUGCAGAAUGAACCAUAGAAAUCACAAGCUGCUUAUAUCACAUUGUCACGGUAGCUGGAGAAGAUAAAGGUAUGAGUCCAUCCCAGAAGAGGUAUUGGCUUUGUGGGCAUUUUAAACUCCAAAACAAACAUAGGAUGCUUCCCCUUGGCUGAGAGGUUCUGUGGCACCUCCUGAGGAAGCUGGGGUGUCUGCACGGAGACAGGAUGGAAGAGGCCAAAUGCUUGUUUUGGUUGUACCAAGCUGCAUGGGGAAUAACUUCAUUCAGACUAUGAAGAUUUUUAUUUAUUAUUAUUUUUUAAGUAAAAUCAACGACACAGAACUAAAAGCAACUGUCUUGAGGAUAUAUAAGGUUGAACAUAAUUAGUAUCUUAAUGUUCUUCAAGACAAUUAGAUCUUUCUCACUGAACACUUCCAUACCAGCUGGACUUUGAUUUGGGGGUAUCUAUCAACCUUAGACCUUUCUUCCAUGCAGCUUCUCUAUACUCAUUGCCUCCUGCAUAAUCAGCCCUGGCUUCCCACCAUCAGCUUACCUGACUGGGUGCUCAUGCCACAGUCAAAUUCCCUCGUAUCCAAACAGAUGUGGUAGUAGUUUGUGUUUAGGGAACAGCUGACAAAUGCUGACAGGCAACUCAAAACGCAUCUUAAGCACACACAGAAGGGAUUUUUUCCUCUACACAAUACAUGGCCCUGUAGAGAUUUAAACUACUAGUUCAAAUAAUGCUUUUUUUUUUUCCUUAAACUGAAGGGAUUUUUCUUCCUUUUAAAAUAAUAAACACUAUCUUAUUUUAAAAAUUAAUUCAAAUAUCUUUAACAUUUAGAGGCGUCUUUUUAUUAUAUGUGUUAUGAUGCUGUUUGCAAUCUGACUUAUUCCUGAUAAGAAGCUGCAAUUACUAGCUGUAUCUUUCUAUCGUGAAAAACCACAUGAGAUCAGAGACUAAGUUAUUCAAAUGCUACAAAAUAAGUCACUUGACUAAGCUGUUUCAGAAAUGAAAGUUAAGUUUAUCUUACUUCUUUUGAAGGAUUCAUUGGUAGAGUAAAGAUUGUUUUCCAAUAUGACCAGACGAACAGCAUGAAAAAUAUGUGGUAAGCGACCAGGCACACAACUAAAAUCAAAAAGGAACAGAAUUAAUACCAACAGACCAGUGAUAUUUUAGUACUUGCAGACAGAUAUGAUACAUACCACAGGUAUUUGCUCUAACAGAUGUAAAUACAGAGGCUCUGCAAAAGCUCUGCAACAGAAAUACUGCACUGCAACUUUACGUGAGACAAAUACAGACUGCAUGGGGAAAGCCAUUAUGCAGGCUACACAUAUUUCAAAAGUUUGAGGGGAACUGUUAACAGCCUAGCACCGAGCAAGUACUCUCUCUUUACACAUUGGUUAAAUCAUACUUAAUUGACUCAGGUCUGCAUUCUGUUUCAUAAACCACGUGGUAAUUAUAGAUACCUAAACAAGAAGGUGUUAUAAUAUCUAAACAGCUGGAGAGAGAGGAGACUUAGUGUGCAUAUGAUACCUGAAUAGUAACCAAAACUGGUCAGUAUGUUUUGCUAGAUUUUUAAGAUCCAGUCUUUUCGAAACUGAAUCUUAAAAAUUCCGUGCUGCCCUCCAGGUUCUUUAAAUUAAAGCACUCACUACUUUAUAUUCUUCACAGCAAGUGAUAUAUUCAGGGAUUUACCUAAAAAAAAAAGAAAAAAAGAAAAAACCCAACACAGAAGCCAGGCAACAUUUACCAUGCUGGUCUGUUUUACAAGAACAGAGAAUGUAACAUCUACUCAAAGAGCCUGCCAUGGACUGAUAUGUGUUUCUGUUCAGAAGCUCUCACUGUACGUACCAAUCAUUCUGCACAUUACUAUAGAAAGUCACCAGCGAUGCCAUCAAUUCACUACAGUGAAUGCUAAAUCCAAAACUUGUUUUCUCUGAUCUACUUGCCCUAGUAUACAGGGAGGAACAUUUCCUUCAGUUCUUCUUCCUUGAGUACAGAAUUGGCAAAUAAAGGCCAGUCAGGACCACAGCAGUGCAAAAUAUUUCCCCUGUUGUACAGAUGAACUCAGAUUAUACAGAGCACAGGGUUACAAG